rnacentral:tRNA from 1 species
UCCCGGGUGGCUCAGUGGUGAAGAAUCUGCCUGUCAAUGAGGAAGAUGCAGGAGAUUCAGGUUCAAUCCCUGACUCAGGAA